GAUGAACGCUAGCUACAGGCUUAACACAUGCAAGUCGAGGGACCGGCGCACGGGUUAGUAACACGUAUCCAACCUGCCCUUUACUCGGGGAUAGCCUUUCGAACGAAAGAUUAAUACCCGAUGUAAAGGAUGGGGAUGCGUUCCAUUAGGUUGUUGGUGAGGUAACGGCUCACCAAGCCUUCGAUGGAUAGGGGUUCUGAGAGGAAGGUCCACCACAUUGGAACUGAGCCACGGUCCAAACUCCUACGGGAGGCAGCAGUAAGGAAUAUUUGUCAAUGGGCGUUAGCCUGAACCAGCCAAGUAGCGUUAAGGAUGAAGGCUUAUGGGUCGUAAACUUCUUUUAUGUAAGAAUAUGUAUUAUAUGAAUAAGGAUCGGCUAACUCCGUGCCAGCCGCCGCGGUAAUAC
rnacentral:rRNA from 1 species